UACAGAGGUCCCGAGCGUUGUUCGGAUUCACUGGGCGUAAAGGGUGCGUAGGUGGUGAGGUAAGUCGGAUGUGAAAGCUCCAAGCUCAACUUGGAAAUGGCAUUGGAAACUACCUUGCUAGAGGGUUUGAGGGGGGACUGGAAUACUUGGUGUAGCAGUGAAAUGCGUAGAUAUCAAGUGGAACACCAGUGGCGAAGGCGAGUCCCUGGAAAACUCCUGAACACUGAGGCACGAAAAGCUAGGGGAGCAAACAGG
rnacentral:rRNA from 1 species